rnacentral:miRNA from 1 species
CCAAAGGAAGAACGGGGUUGU